UUAAAGCUUUAUGAAGGUUGUAUUCUCAGUUAUGAUGAGCUCAAUGAUAGCGUUGUGAUCAACCUUUGUUUGAAUUUGAAUGAGGUUAUUUAUAGUUGGAGCUGAAAAAUAGCCGUUACUAACUGUCUCCCCAUAAACGGAUCGCCGUUAACCAUUAACGGUUAACCGUUUGUACUGGUCAAAGUUACCGUUGAGCCAAAUUUCAAAUAAAUGGUUGACCGUUUGUCACUACCCUUUCAGCGUUAAUUUCCAGAGACCUGCAAAACAAAUUUCUGCUAUCCGUUUUUGCUGAACGGUUAAAGGUUAGCAUAAAAUGACACCCUGGAAAUUAUCGGUUAGCCAUUUGAAGUUAACGGUUCGCCAGUUAUUUCCAGUGACCUGCAAAAGGAAAUAGCCUUAUCUGCUUCAGUUAAACAGUGCAAGAUUAAUAAAAGCUUCUAUUCUUGAAUUUAUCGGUUAACCAUUUGCUAUAAAUGGUUCACCGUUUAAUUCCAGUGACCUUCCUAGACCAUUUAUGUUUUCUGUUUCUGCUAACCGGUUAGAGCUUAAACAAUUGUCCCUCUCUGGAUUUUAUCGGUUAACUGUUUUGAAGUAAACGGUUCACCGUUUACUUCCAGAAUCACAGUUUUAGCCAAAUAUCACAGGGAAUCAUUUUCCAAUUGAAGUAUAUUUAACUACACAUCUUUCAUGAACACAAUUGGAAUGAUUAUAUGGCUUUUGUUUAUUAAUGAAUAGCACCAACAUUUUAAUCAAAAACAUUUAAAGUUUGUUACCAUCAAAAUCAUGUUAACAUUCUCCCCCUUUUUGAUGAUGACAACUUUCUUUUCAAUAUUUUGGUCCCUCUAACUAUAUGCUCCCCCUAAAUAUAUGGACAAUUUAAAAUUGUUCAAUAAACAGAUUUUUACUCAAUAAAUCAUUUUUAAAAAAAAUUAUUUCAAAAGUAAAUUUUAUACUUAAUUAUUGCUAUCUCCUCCUUCAUCAUUUUAUACUCAUUAUUCAUUUUAGCAGAAAAAAGAAUACUUAUUCAUUAUCAAUCCUUAUUCAUUAUUAAAACUUAUUCAUAAUAAAAAAGAAAAGAUAGAAAAAGAAUACAUAAAACAUAGAAUUGAGGAAGAGAUUACCCAGAGUAAACUAGUAGAAAUUUUGGCAGAGUCUCCGCUUAAAAAUGGAUACAGAAUAUGAUUAAAAACACUUCCAAAUAUGAUAUAACAAGUUUGUCAAACCAACAACUCCAACAAGUCAAUAAUUCAAUCACAUAUACUCAACCAUCAUCAAAAUCAUGUAAAGGAAUCCAUUAAAAUCAUCAACAAAACAUAAUGGAAUCAAAGCACAAAUAUAUAAGUAUCAAGAACACACACACACACACAUAUAUAUAGACAUAAUAUGAAAUGUAUGUGCGAUAAGAUAAAGAAUAGAACUAUGAUGGAGGUGGUGAAGAUGAACUGCCAGGGUCAUAGCCAAAAUAACAAAGGAGAGUUCACUGUCCAGCAAUAAGCUCAAGCUGCUGAUCGAUGCUUUGUUGCUGAAAAGUUUGAAAUUGAGAGCGUAGCUGCUGCUGAUUUCGAGAAAGAAUGUCCAAACUAUCGAGAAUCAGCUGCUGCCGCUCAGAAAGUCUGUGAACAUCAACAACUAACUGCUGUAAAGUGUCCGAUGCUGGGGGCUCGGCAAAAGUAAGAGGCGACUCAGGAACAGAAGACAGCCUGAGAGCAGUAGGCUGCUCGGGAGAUAGAGGCGGCUCAGAAGUGGAGGGAAUAUCAGU
rnacentral:lncRNA from 1 species